GCUCAAUUCAGUAGUAUGCGGACUAAAAUCAGAAUGAAGCAGAAAUUAGCAUGGCUCCUGUGCAAAAAUGACACGCCAAUUCUUGAAGCAUUUCUUAUUUUU